rnacentral:rRNA from 1 species
UACAGAGGAGCCAAGCGUUGUCCGGAUUUACUGGGCGUAAAGAGCGCGCAGGCGGUCGUUCAAGUCGAGUGUGAAAGCCCCCGGCUCAACUGGGGAGGGUCAUUCGAUACUGAUCGACUCGAAGGCAGGAGAGGGAAGUGGAAUUCCCGGUGUAGUGGUGAGAUGCGUAGAUAUCGGGAGGAACACCAGUGGCGAAGGCGACUUCCUGGCCUGUUCUUGACGCUGAGGCGCGAAAGCUAGGGGAGCAAACGGG